GUUUCCCCUCCUUGUGCUUUUCUCUCGUGUGCCAUGUGAAGAACCUUGCUUCCUCUUUGCCUUCCACCAUGAUUACUCUUCAGAGGUUCCUGCUGGGCCUCCCACUGCUCCAGUGCUUUUGAUGAAGCUAGACUAUUCCCUGCAGCAGUUCCUUUUCCCAUGUUUUGGCCUCUGAGGAUCAACAGUACAGCUCUAUCUUCUUUUUGAUGAGAUCUUUAGUCUCUCUUGCUUCAGGUGCCUGGAUGUUGAGGGGCAAAUAGGACUGUUCACUGAAGGAGCUAGAGAAUGGAAGAGAAGGUUGUGUCAGAUAGAAAUAACAGAAGCUUUCUGAAAUGAAAACAGAAAUGUUACAACUUGCACCACAGUACUGGACUGAAACGAAGAUGUAACACAGCCAUAAUAAUUUAAAUUAAUAGCAAAUAAAUAAAGAAAAAAAGAACUUCAUUGUGAGGACCAUAGUCAUGGGAUAGCUCUGUCUUUUCGGGGAAAGUGGAGUAGAGGGACAGAGUCACCCCAGGAGAAAAAAUGCUUAAAUUAAGACUCCCUGAGAGACUGAAUAAGAGUAUGAUUAGUUCAGCCUUGCUUUCAUCCUCCACUUCCCCCUCCCACUGUAGACUUCAGUUUUAAUAAUGAUUAAAGAAUAAUGCCUGAAUCCC
rnacentral:lncRNA from 1 species